rnacentral:ncRNA from 2 species
AUUAUUCAAAAUAGAAUUUUGCGUAUAACAGCUUUAAUAAGGUAAGCAAGUCUCUACCCUAGACCGUAAAUCUAGGACUACGCAAAGAAAAUAUCAUUAU